rnacentral:tRNA from 3 species
GGCCCAGUGGCGCAGUUGGUUAGCGCGUCGCCCUGUCACGGCGAAGGUCGCGGGUUCGAGUCCCGUCUGGGUCGCCA